GUCUGUCCCGAAAAGACAAGUGUUACAAAGCCAAAGACCCUGAAGCCGAAGGCAGUGCUCUUCAGACAGAACUACAUGACCUCUGUGCUGGCAGUGAGGCAGAAGGCCUGGAUGGUUUUCUUCAUCGGGACAGGAGAUGGACAGCUCAUUAAGCUUGCUGUAGAUAAGGACUAUCACACCGCCUGUCCCAUGGUGCUCUACAGGGCCAAUGAUGAUCGCCAAGUGUUUCCCAAAAUACUUCUGGAUCCAGUGGAUCAUAA